AGUCGAACGGUAACAGGUCUUCGGAUGCUGACGAGUGGCGGACGGGUGAGUAACGCGUAGGAAUCUGCCCAUCUGUGGGGGAUACCAGUUGGAAACGACUGUUAAUACCGCAUAAUAUCUGCGGAUUAAAGGUGGCCUUUGCGCUGCCGCAGAUGGAUGAGCCUGCGUUGGAUUAGCUAGUUGGUGGGGUAAGGGCCUACCAAGGCUACGAUCCAUAGCUGAUUUGAGAGGAUGAUCAGCCACAUUGGGACUGAGACACGGCCCAAACUCCUACGGGAGGCAGCAGUGGGGAAUAUUGGACAAUGGGGGAAACCCUGAUCCAGCAAUGCCAUGUGUGUGAAGAAGGCUCUAGGGUUGUAAAGCACUUUAGUUGGGGAGGAAAGCCUGUGAGUUAAUAGCUUGCAGGAAGGACGUUGCCCAAAGAAUAAGGACCGGCUAACUCCGUGCCAGCAGCCGCGGUAAUACGGGGGGUCCGAGCGUUAAUCGGAAUUACUGGGCGUAAAGGGUCUGUAGGUGGUUUGUUAAGUCAGAUGUGAAAGCCCAGGGCUCAACCUUGGAACUGCAUUUGAUACUGACAAACUAGAGUAUGGUAGAGGAAUAGGGAACUUCUGGUGUAGCGGUGAAAUGCGUAGAGAUCAGAAGGAACACCAAUGGCGAAGGCAACAUUCUGGACCAAUACUGACACUGAGGGACGAAAGCGUGGGGAUCAAACAGGAUUAGAUACCCUGGUAGUCCACGCUGUAAACGAUGAGUACUAGCUGUUGGAUUCGGUGUAAAGGAUCUAGUGGCGCAGCUAACGCGUUAAGUACUCCGCCUGGGGACUACGGCCGCAAGGCUAAAACUCAAAGGAAUUGACGGGGACCCGCACAAGCGGUGGAGCAUGUGGUUUAAUUCGAUGCAACGCGAAGAACCUUACCUGGUCUUGACAUCCUGCGAACUUUCUAGAGAUAGAUUGGUGCCUUCGGGAACGCAGUGACAGGUGCUGCACGGCUGUCGUCAGCUCGUGUUGUGAAAUGUUGGGUUAAGUCCCGCAACGAGCGCAACCCCUAUUGAUAGUUACCAUCAUUAAGUUGGGUACUCUAUUGAGACUGCCGCUGACAAGGCGGAGGAAGGUGGGGACGACGUCAAGUCAUCAUGGCCCUUACGACCAGGGCUACACACGUGCUACAAUGGGUAUUACAGAGGGCUGCGAAGGUGCGAGCUGGAGCGAAACUCAGAAAGGUACUCUUAGUCCGGAUUGCAGUCUGCAACUCGACUGCAUGAAGUCGGAAUCGCUAGUAAUCGCAGGUCAGAAUACUGCGGUGAAUACGUUCCCGGGUCUUGUACACACCGCCCGUCACACCAUGGGAGUGGGUUGCUCCAGAAGUAGAUAGCUUAACGAAUGGGCGUUUACCACGGAGUGAUUCAUAAC
rnacentral:rRNA from 1 species